rnacentral:tRNA from 1 species
GCCGGUGUAGCUCAGCUUGGCAGAGCAACUGAUUCGUAAUCAGUAGGUCGGAGGUUCAAGUCCUCUCACCGGCACCA